CAACUAUAUCAUGUUGAAACACCAGUUCUUGUCUGAUCACCAAAGUUAAGAAAUGUUGAGUCUGGUUCGUACCUAAAUGGGUGACUUCUUGUGAAUACCAGGUGCUGUAA